rnacentral:lncRNA from 1 species
CUUCAGUUCUCUGUAAUGAAGGAUUUAGAGAAUCCAUUCCUGGACUAAGAGUCUUUGCUUGCCUUAGUCCAGGAAUGAAUCUCCAAUGAGACAGAUGCUAAGCUACCAAUUAGUCCCUGAUAACCCUGUCCAAAUGCAUUAGAUCUGAUAUCUAGGGCCAGUUCAGAUCCAUUAAAGAGAUGAAAAGCCUCUUCCUUGGCCAGCUCAUCUGCAAUUGUAUUGUUUUCAGUCCUUUUAUAUUCUGUCCCCAAACAGGUUGAAUGAACCCUGUUCCUGGUAGCAAGUUCCACAAUGAGAUGAUGGCAUUUUCAUAUAAAUUAUGAAAUAAACAGUAGCUAUCAAGUGCUUUUAAUACAGCUUGUGUUAAAAACACAAUAGAAUAUAAAUAUUAACAUAUUUCUAUCAAGACUGGUUUUAGUACAUGCAGAAAUUGCAUAGAUUUCUGCAUGAAAGACAGAGAAAACUCUCCAAGGGAAUAAGAAUAAGACAUCCUCAUUCCUUCACAAUAAAUUCUUACCUUAUGCCAUUAUAGAUUUUGGAAUUAUCUGUAUAUCAGAUCAGUCCAUCUUUGAUACUCUCCUAAAUCCAUUCCUCUUUGCUGAGAAAAAUAACAGAUAACGAUCUGAAAAAGUUGAAUCUGGGUACAUCUUGGUCUGUAACCAUUUUAAAAAUGUGACUGUAUGUCUUUCCCAUUCAAAAAAUAAAUGCUCCACUUUGUGAAUCCAAGAAAUUGGACCUACAAUGUGGAGCACUUUCACAACAAUGAAGCCUAUAAUAGCUUUCCUGGACAUUAGUCUCAACAAAUAUAUGUAAGGGGGAAAUGUCCAAAAGAAUUUCAAGAGCAAUCCUCAAUAACUCCUGUAAUGCUCAGCAAGCCAUCCCUGAGCAUCACAGGAACUCCCCAAGUUCAAUCCUGCAUAUUUUUAAUAGAACUUUCACUCCAAAUGAUUUGCAACAUAGAAAAUAAUGGGAAAUUUUGUCUUACAAAUGAAUAUUUAUUUCAUCAAUUUGAAUAUAAGGAGAUUCCUACUUUUUAUUGUUACGUCCAGAAAUUUCUGCUAUCUUUCCCAUAAUUUUAUAUUGGGUUUUUUCCUCUAUGAUGCAUAACUUCUCUAAAAUCUAG